rnacentral:rRNA from 1 species
GACGACCGCUGGCGGCGUGCCUAAUACAUGCAAGUAGAACGCUGAAGGAGGAGCUUGCUUCUCUGGAUGAGUUGCGAACGGGUGAGUAACGCGUAGGUAACCUGCCUGGUAGCGGGGGAUAACUAUUGGAAACGAUAGCUAAUACCGCAUAAGAGUAGAUGUUGCAUGACAUUUGCUUAAAAGGUGCAAUUGCAUCACUACCAGAUGGACCUGCGUUGUAUUAGCUAGUUGGUGGGGUAACGGCUCACCAAGGCGACGAUACAUAGCCGACCUGAGAGGGUGAUCGGCCACACUGGGACUGAGACACGGCCCAGACUCCUACGGGAGGCAGCAGUAGGGAAUCUUCGGCAAUGGACGGAAGUCUGACCGAGCAACGCCGCGUGAGUGAAGAAGGUUCUCGGAUCGUAAAGCUCUGUUGUAAGAGAAGAACGAGUGUGAGAGUGGAAAGUUCACACUGUGACGGUAUCUUACCAGAAAGGGACGGCUAACUACGUG